GUGAAUCAUCCAUUUGUACCGUAGACAGUAGGGGUGCUAAGACACUUAAUCAUCCUACCGAGGACAUCGGAAAUCAGAUUCUUUUAAGAUGAUGACUUUCUGCCUCUAUGUCUACUGACGUAGAGGCAUUUCUUUUGUCGGU
rfam:Lysinibacillus manganicus DSM 26584 contig6, whole genome shotgun sequence.